CCUACGGGAGGCAGCAGUGGGGAAUUUUGGACAAUGGGCGCAAGCCUGAUCCAGCCAUUCCGCGUGAGUGAAGAAGGCCUUCGGGUUGUAAAGCUCUUUCGGCAGGGAAGAAACGGUGCGGGCCAAUACCCCGCACUAAUGACGGUACCUGAAGAAGAAGCACCGGCUAACUACGUGCCAGCAGCCGCGGUAAUACGUAGGGUGCGAGCGUUAAUCGGAAUUACUGGGCGUAAAGCGUGCGCAGGCGGUUUCGUAAGACAGAUGUGAAAUCCCCGGGCUCAACCUGGGAACUGCGUUUGUGACUGCGAGACUCGAGUGCGGCAGAGGGGGGUGGAAUUCCACGUGUAGCAGUGAAAUGCGUAGAGAUGUGGAGGAACACCGAUGGCGAAGGCAGCCCCCUGGGUCGACACUGACGCUCAUGCACGAAAGCGUGGGGAGCAAACAGGAUUAGAUACCCUGGUAGUCCACGCCCUAGACGAUGCCAACUAGGUGUUGGGGAAGGAGACUUCCUUAGUACCGAAGCUAACGCGUGAAGUUGGCCGCCUGGGGAGUACGGUCGCAAGAUUAAAACUCAAAGGAAUUGACGG
rnacentral:rRNA from 1 species